rnacentral:rRNA from 1 species
GACGAACGCUGGCGGCGUGCCUAAUACAUGCCAGUAGAACGCACAGUUUAUACCGUAGCUUGCUACACCAUAGACUGUGAGUUGCGAACGGGUGAGUAACGCGUAGGUAACCUGCCUGGUAGCGGGGGAUAACUAUUGGAAACGAUAGCUAAUACCGCAUAAUAUUAAUUAUUGCAUGAUAAUUAAUUGAAAGGUGCAAUUGCACCACUACCAGAUGGACCUGCGUUGUAUUAGCUAGUAGGUGAGGUAACGGCUCACCUAGGCGACGAUACAUAGCCGACCUGAGAGGGUGAUCGGCCACACUGGGACUGAGACACGGCCCAGACUCCUACGGGAGGCAGCAGUAGGGAAUCUUCGGCAAUGGACGAAAGUCUGACCGAGCAACGCCGCGUGAGUGAAGAAGGUUUUCGGAUCCUAAAGCUCUGUUGUAAGAGAAGAACGGGUGUGAGAGUGGAAAGUUCACACUGUGACGGUAUCUUACCAGAAAGGGACGGCUAACUACGUG